UAAUAAACAGGUAAUAUAUCUGUAGCAGCUAUAAUAAAUAGGUAAUAUAUCUGUAACAGCUGUAAUAAAUAGGUAAUAUAUCUGUAGCAGCUAUAAUAAAUAGGUAAUAUAUCUGUAACAGCUAUAAUAAACAGGUAAUAUAUCUGUAGCAGCUAUAAUAAAUAGGUAAUAUAUCUGUAACAGCUAUAAUAAAUAGGUAAUAUAUCUGUAACAGCUAUAAUAAAUAGGUAAUAUAUCUGUAACAGCUAUAAUAAAUAGGUAAUAUAUCUGUAACAGCUGUAAUAAAUAGGUAAUAUAUCUGUAACAGUGUAACAGCUGUAAUAAAUAGGUAAUAUAUCUGUAACAGCUAUAAUAAAUAGGUAAUAUAUCUGUAACAGCUAUAAUAAAUAGGUAAUAUAUCUGUAGCAGUGUAACAGCUAUAAUAAAUAGGUAAUAUAUCUGUAACAGCUAUAAUAAAUAGGUAAUAUAUCUGUAACAGCUAUAAUAAAUAGGUAAUAUAUCUGUAACAGCUAUAAUAAAUAGGUAAUAUAUCUGUAACAGCUAUAAUAAAUAGGUAA